rnacentral:lncRNA from 1 species
CUCAGCCUUCUUCAGUUGUAGGUACAGCCAUAUGGUUCUGUUUCUGCCUUCCUUCUACUCCCUUCUUGCUAAUUGGAAUCAGGUCAAGAUGGUGAGGGCAGAAGCGACCAUGGGGCACCAUGAGUUGGAAACCAUAUUGUGAAGAUGACAGAGCAACAAGACAGAGGGAAGAUGAUUCCUUGGCACCUUUGUGAAGGAGUACUACGAUGUUAUCUUGCACAUUUAUUCUACAUCAGAAAAACAUGCUGCUCCAAGGUGGAAAACUCUUAGACUCUUAUCAGUUGUUUUAAUUGCUAAGACAACCCAGUUCCACAUGAGCUACAGCCAGCUUCACAAAGGUACAACCUGAGACUGUCCCAUUGCAUGUCUGCACUGCAUGCCUUUUUGCUUAUACCUGCAGCUUCUUGGUUCACACUAAAGCGUGAGAUAUCUCAGGACUCUUUCUGAGUCCUCAUAUGCACAAGCUAGAUGUGUGUGAGUUAAACCCUGUGAGCUGAACCAGUGAGAG